rnacentral:miRNA from 1 species
AAAGAUGGGCAAAGACAGAGA